AUACGAAGGGGGCUAGCGUUGUUCGGAUUUACUGGGCGUAAAGCGCACGUAGGCGGAUUGAUUAGUUAGGGGUGAAAUCCCGAGGCUCAACCUCGGAACUGCCUCUAAAACUGUCAAUCUCGAGACCGGAAGAGGUGAGUGGAACUCCUAGAGUAGAGGUGGAAUUCGUAGAUAUUAGGAAGAACACCAGUGGCGAAGGCGGCUUACUGGUCCGGUACUGACGCUGAGGUGCGAAAGCGUGGGGAGCGAACAGGAUUAGAAACCCCAGUAGUCC
rnacentral:rRNA from 1 species